UUCCCUUCUGAACAUCUGCUUACUAUAGGAAAAGUCACCCACCUCAUUGCAAAGCCGAGGAGAGCGGUGAAGUGCCCAUGGGCAGGACACCUGUCUCUAAGCACAUUUCAGAAACAGACUUUAUUCAUCGUCUGGGGGAUGCUACAUGACUUUUUGAUACAAGGAUUUAUGAACACAAUACUGUUGGAUGCCAUGGGAGUUGCAGCAGAUGAGGCAGGUGACAACUAAAGUUCAGAUGUCAACCCACCAGAGGACUGAUUCUCUGAUGGAGAAGAAUCCCAUCCAGGGCAAGCCCAUCACCAUGCAAUGCCAGAUUUAACUUCCAG